rnacentral:rRNA from 1 species
CUACGUGCCAGCAGCCGCGGUAAUACGUAGGGUGCGAGCGUUGUCCGGAAUUAUUGGGCGUAAAGGGCUUGUAGGCGGUUUGUCGCGUCUGCCGUGAAAUCCUCUGGCUUAACUGGGGGCGUGCGGUGGGUACGGGCAGGCUUGAGUGCGGUAGGGGAGACUGGAACUCCUGGUGUAGCGGUGGAAUGCGCAGAUAUCAGGAAGAACACCGGUGGCGAAGGCGGGUCUCUGGGCCGUUACUGACGCUGAGGAGCGAAAGCGUGGGGAGCGAACAGGAUUAGAUACCCUGGUAGUCCACGCUGUAAACGCUGUCGAUUUGGGGAUUGGGCUUAAAGCUUGGUGCCCGUAGCUAACGUGAUAAAUCGACCGCCUGGGGAGUACGGCCGCAAGGUUAAAACUCAAAUGAAUUGACGGGGGCCCGCACAAGCGGUGGAGCAUGUGGUUUAAUUCGAUGCAACGCGAAGAACCUUACCUACUCUUGACAUCCAUGGAAUCCUGUAGAGAUACGGGAGUGC